CCUACGGGCGGCUGCAGUCGGGAAUUUGGGGCAAUGGGCGAAAGCCUGACCCAGCAACGCCGCGUGAAGGAUGAAGUAUUUCGGUAUGUAAACUUCGAAAGAAUGGGAAGAAUAAAUGACGGUACCAUUUAUAAGGUCCGGCUAACUACGUGCCAGCAGCCGCGGUAAUCCGUAGGGACCAAGCGUUGUUCGGAUUUACUGGGCGUAAAGGGCGCGUAGGCGGAAUUGUAAGUCACUUGUGAAAUCUCCGGGCUUAACCCGGAACUGACAAGGGAUAUUGCAGUGCUAGAGUGCAGAAGGGGCAAUCGGAAGUCUCGGUGUAGCGGUGAAAUGCGUAGAUAUCGAGAGGAACACCUGAGGUGAAGACGGGUUGCUGGGCUGACACUGACGCUGAGGCGCGAAAGCCAGGGGAGCAAACGGGAUUAGAUACCCGUGUAGUC
rnacentral:rRNA from 1 species